GACGAACGCUGGCGGCGUGCUUAACACAUGCAAGUCGAACGGAAAGGCCCUGCUUUUGUGGGGUGCUCGAGUGGCGAACGGGUGAGUAACACGUGAGUAACCUGCCCUUGACUUUGGGAUAACUUCAGGAAACUGGGGCUAAUACCGGAUAGGAGCUCCUGCUGCAUGGUGGGGGUUGGAAAGUUUCGGCGGUUGGGGAUGGACUCGCGGCUUAUCAGCUUGUUGGUGGGGUAGUGGCUUACCAAGGCUUUGACGGGUAGCCGGCCUGAGAGGGUGACCGGCCACAUUGGGACUGAGAUACGGCCCAGACUCCUACGGGAGGCAGCAGUGGGGAAUAUUGCACAAUGGGCGGAAGCCUGAUGCAGCAACGCCGCGUGCGGGAUGACGGCCUUCGGGUUGCAAACCGCUUUCGCUUGUGACGAAGCGUGAGUGACGGUAAUGGGUAAAGAAGCACCGGCUAACUACGUG
rnacentral:rRNA from 1 species